rnacentral:tRNA from 1 species
GGGCCCGUAGCUCAGCCUGGUCAGAGCGCCCGACAGCUGUAGGAAGUUGGGCGAAGCUCAUAGGUUGUCUGGGAGACCGGGUGGUCGAGGGUCCGAAUCCCUCCGGGCCCA